rnacentral:rRNA from 1 species
CGUAGGUGGCAAGCGUUGUCCGGAUUUAUUGGGCGUAAAGCGAGCGCAGGCGGUUCCUUAAGUCUGAUGUGAAAGCCCACGGCUCAACCGUGGAAGGUCAUUGGAAACUGGGGAACGUUGAGUGCAGAAGAGGAGAGUGGAAUUCCAUGUGUAGCGGUGAAAUGCGUAGAUAUAUGGAGGAACACCAGUGGCGAAGGCGACUCUCUGGUCUGUAACUGACGCUGAGGCUCGAAAGCGUGGGGAGCAAACAGGAUUAGA